UGUUUCUAGGUUCGUGACUUCCUCUUUGUCGUGUUCUUCGAAGAAACAAUUGUUUUCCAUGUUAUGCGAUCCACGACCAAUUGACGACGGUAACAAGGUAACUUUCUUCAGUGUUUGUCCCUUUGCAGAUUGUAAAGGCUCAUAGCAAAAUCACUAUUUGGUCCAGUGUAAACUCUAAUUGAAGAGUUUGCAUAUUUUACCAAAACCUUGUACAUUUGCUAGAGUCUUUAUAAGUGGCAGCUCAUGCUAGAAAAUAAAUGAUUAAUAGAUUGGAAAUUGAAGAUGGUUUGAUUGUUAUUUACGUAUGAUAAUGAUGGAUAAAAUGAACAAACCCUACCCCACCAUUGACACACAACACAUGGCCCUUUUAUACUUACUGUGUCAAUUGUGUUUGGCUCUGCAAGUUCAUAAUUAUGAUGACAAGUGUUUCUUAAUUUUGUAAAAUGAAAAAUACUGUAAGAUAGAGUGGUAUAGUAUUGACGAAUCAAUGCAGCACCAAAAUAUAAGGAAAAAGUGCAGAAAUUGCAACUAAGUACAAUGGUUGCAAGCUCAAGGUUGAUGGGGUAUCCUCAGGCGGUGGGGCAAAUAUGAAUUAUCUAAUUCAUAUUUGCGACACUGUCUGUGGUUGCUCAAAUCACCUUUUCUGAAAGUUAAAAUGUUCACAGCAACAAGAAAAUCUUGAUGAAAAUGACAAUUGGAAAGACAUACAGAUGUUAUAUAUUUAUACCAUACAACAUUUGUAUCAUUUACUUAUUAAAAAAGAGAUGAUAUAUUUUUAAGGAUAUAAGCUAAAGUAAAAUUUUUAUAAUUAUAGAGACUAAAGAAAGAAGGUAUGAGUUGAAUUGAUUUUGAAUGAUAGUAGUGACAAAUGGUUGAGAAAAACAGAUAUUCUCCAUUGAGAAGAGAAGUGGCAAAAUCUGUUACCUGUUGAGCGCAAGACAACUUUCAAUUGCAUGGGGAAACAGCCCUCUGUAUUGGUCCUGGAAACCCAUCCGAGGUUCAAGGUUUGUUUCUGCAUCGUCGACAUCUUUCCAAUUCUCAAACACUUUCUCUUUUAACUGUAACUUUCCACUUCAAUUUCUUCAUAGGUAUCAUGUCAUGUCAUGUCCUAACAAUACCAAUACUUAAUGAUUUUAAUAAUCACAACAUAAGGUUACCUAAUUCGAUCACUAUUCUAAUGGCACAUCAUUACCAAUUACAAACUCGUUUUUGAAAUCUGUGCGUAGAUUUGAAGAAGCAGCUGAACUGAGAACCAUAAGCUGGCUGGAAAUAAAGGGAAGCAUAAACAGCGGAAUGUUAUCUCCCAAUACUUUAUACGGAGCCUACCUGAAAGUGAAAAUCGCGGAUCGAGCUUAUGGGUUAGACGUGUUACCAUCGGAGGUGUCCGUAGAAGUUGGCAAACAUAAAUCACAAGGAACCGUUUGCAUACGUUCAUGUCGAAAAACAGACACCAAAUGUUCUUUUCGUUUUGAAGAUGAAGAAUGGUCGGAGAUUGAGUUGGGGAGUUUUU
rnacentral:lncRNA from 1 species